rnacentral:rRNA from 1 species
AGCGAACGCUGGCGGCAGGCUUAACACAUGCAAGUCGAGCGGGCACCUUCGGGUGUCAGCGGCAGACGGGUGAGUAACACGUGGGAACGUACCCUUUGGUUCGGAACAACUCUGGGAAACUGGAGCUAAUACCGGAUACGCCCUUAUGGGGAAAGGUUUACCGCCGAAGGAUCGGCCCGCGUCUGAUUAGCUAGUUGGUGAGGUAACGGCUCACCAAGGCGACGAUCAGUAGCUGGUCUGAGAGGAUGAUCAGCCACACUGGGACUGAGACACGGCCCAGACUCCUACGGGAGGCAGCAGUGGGGAAUAUUGGACAAUGGGCGCAAGCCUGAUCCAGCCAUGCCGCGUGAGUGAUGAAGGCCUUAGGGUUGCAAAGCUCUUUUGUCCGGGACGAUAAUGACGGUACCGGAAGAAUAAGCCCCGGCUAACUUCGCGCCAGCCGCCGCUGU